AUACUUUGUUUCAGGAACAGUUGUGUUUAGACUUACUGUGCAAAUCCUGCCGUGUCUUCGUGGCUGGGGGUGAUCCCAGCCUGCAGCACUGUGGCCAUGUGUGCCAUCAAUCAAUCAGUGGGCUGUAAUCCUGAAAGUACUGUUUAUUUUCCAGAAAAAUGACUGACUAAACACUGUUCAUUUGAUUGUAGAGCUGUGCAAAUGCUGGUUAAAUUCACCCACGGGACGCGGGGCAGCAGCGAGCGAUGUCAUGAAGUCCUGGCAGAGCAACCUGGAGCCAAAGCCAGGUGGGAAGACUCAUUCCUUUGCUGGAUUUGGAUCCCUGCAGAACAGCCUGUGUACUGAAUGAUACAGAUUUGCAGGGUCUUCUGCAGCAAAGAUGUGGACUGUGCCGUGGUCGCUGGAGACGCAGAUGAGGGAAGCAUCCUGAUUGAAGUUAAUACUGCAGAGAACACAGAAUACUGCAGGAUCCCUCCUGGGACAGACCCACAGCACACACAGUUCUGCUGCUGCAGUUGCCCACAGCAGCUGCCAGCCCGCUCUGGGGUGGGAACAGCUCCUCUCUGUAAGAGCUGGGGCUCCCCUGAUCCAGGGCUGCCUUGGGAUGAACAGCCCAAAUCCCUCAAUCCAGGGCUGCCUUGGGAUGAACAGCCUGCACUCGUAACAGGGUCUGGAGUGGCAGGAGCAGCAGGACUCCCUGACAUGGACACCAUGGGUGUGGGCCACUCUGACACUUCUGGAAGAAAAGGAGCUCUGCUCCAAGGAGUGGGCAAAAUGUGUAACAUUCCUACCCCAGAUGGGGCUUGGAAGAGGAGGGGGAGUUUCCAGGCUCCUGGCAGAGUCACACCUCUGUCCUGGGCACUCCCCUCACAGCAGGAUGUGGUGCUGAAGCCCCACCCUGCCCCAAGCUCUCCAGUCCCUGGGCAGUGUUCAAAUGCAUCAGGGCCCUCCCAGUGUCUGUGUAAGUUCAGCAUCCCCAGCUCCCACCUGUGCUGGGCAGGGGCACAGCCUGGCACCACACAGGCUGCUGUCCCAGCCCCUGCUCCCUGUGCCAGGCUCCACACACCUCCCAGCUCCCUCCCCUCCCCAGCAGUGAGCCCAGAGCAGCCCUGGGCCCUGUGAGGGCUCUGUGUGCCCAGGAAGCACAUCUGUGCUCAGCACAGCACCUGAACAUCCCAGUACAUUGGACAUCCCAGUGCAUUGGACAUCCCAGUACAUUGGACAUCCCAGUACAUUGGACAUACCAGUAUAUAUUGGCUGCCUGUGAUCCUCGACGUAGCUCCUGGAUUAAAUGCCCUGACGAAGUAUCAAAUAUCCUUAUAAGGGUCCCCUUGAAAAGGAAUCAAGCCUUGUAUUAGGAAAGGCAGAAGACUCUCUUUACAUCUGUGAAUGCAGCCUAAAACUCUGUCUGUCUGACCAGUAUGUCCCUGCACACACCUCUGGGGGUUUUCUUCUUGCUAGAUUUGAGAACCUGUUUUAAUUUUGGGGAAGAACAUUGACUGCCCCCACACCAGCCCCACAGUGUUACAGUGCUGUGGUGCACAACCUUGUCACUUGGCUCCUCAACUCAAGUUUCUUUCAGCUCUUUUCUAAAGCACCAGCACAGCCCUGGCCCUGGUUGGCAGACCCUGGAGUGUGCCCAGGCUCUGGGAGUCACUUCUGCCUUGCUCCCUCAGUCAGUGCUGCCAUUUUCAGUGCUACUGUGCAAUUCUUUCCCACAAAUUAUAAUCAGGGUGUGGCUGACUUGUCUUAGAAUUAAUUCAGAGGCUGUCCAUCAUCACCUGCAGUCCUGUUACACGCCUGGUUAACAGGUGCAGCUCUCCAGUCACACACCAGGAGGUAACAGAACCCAGCAGAGAAAGAUUUGGUAAACUCAGCUUAGUUUUGAUUUAAGAGGCAGGCUUGGGAUGUUUGCUGACUGUGCUCAGACUCCCUAGUUUGGUUGGAAAAUAAAAGCGGUUUGAACUUUUUCUCUGUACAAAACAAGGAACAUCCUGAUACAAAUGCAGCAGAUAAUGAGUCUACUCAGCAAUGGAGUUGGCAGCUUGAAGAACUCUGUUUAGAAGACAUGCAGCCAUUAAGCUUAGUUAGGAGAGACUGUGGCUGCAUUUUCUUUUUUUAAGCUGUUUGAGUGACAGCCUGGGCAGUAGAAACUGUUCAAAGGAGAGACUUGUUGAAUUCAUUUGGCUUUUCCUUGAGAAACUCCUUUCAUUUGAGUGGAAGAAGGCAACGAGUGCUCCUCUUGCCUCAGGGAGAUGGGUCCAUCUGCCUGACAUUCCUCUGGGAGAUGAAGGGCCCUGGCAGCCCUCCCAGGGGUUCCCAGGGAGAGGGCAGGUCUGUCAUCAUUUGAGCUGCACCCUAACCUGAGGGUUUUGUCAGUGUGUUGUGCUCUUUAGUCCCACAGGGGUGCACACACCAUUUCAGAAGGAGGGGGCAGCCACCCCCUCCUGCUCUGCACCAGGGGCUAAGCCCUGGCAGAACAAAGCCCUCUGGCAGGACAGACCUGUCUGCAAGCAUUUCUCUAGCCAGUGGGUGUGAAGUGAGUUUAAGCAGAAAAUAAUAAAGGUGAAAGAAUACAAAUAAGAUUCUCCCCCUGCUUUUUAAAAAAAUUAACAGUAUCUGUUGAAGAACACAUGAAAGCUGUGAGCUGCUUGGGCCAGGCUUCUGUCACUGAAGAGUCACUGCUCCAGUCAGCUAAAACAUAAGCACUACCUCAGGCACAGCCCUUGGCUGUUGGUGUCUGGGGAUCCCAGAGGGGCAGUGAAGAUAAAGGGAAUGCACAUUCCAGUGACAAAUUUCCCCGGUAGGUAUUUCUCUGUCUUUCCUACGAAGGAUGUGACUUCCUAUUUGUGACACUGGAACACAGAGUAGGUCAGAGGCAGGGACAUCACUCUUACUUUUUCUGAUGCUGUUGCAAUUCUUGUUCCCUGCAGGUUUAAAGCAAUACAGCUCAAGACUCCUUCGUGGGCUGGGAUGUCCACGGGAGGCUUCUCCGUGUUGGCCAAAUCCACGAUCUGCACGUGCCCAGUGUGUGUCCCAGGAAAUGCAAGAAGAGAAUUAUUACUAUUUGGACAAAGGACACAGAGACCUGAAAGACACACAAAAAAAAAAAGAAGAGAAUAACUGGAUCAUUUCCAUAAACCAACGUUUUCAAAUGGCUACAAACAUCAGCAAGAGCCAACUCAACUCUGUUAUAGGUGAGACAAAUCCCUCGUCAGUCAGUUGUGCAAAUUAACAGCACUGAGACAUCUGACUGAGCAGUGGCACGAGUGAAAGGCCCUGUGGGGCAGGAGCUGCCCUUCCUGGGGCUUUAUCCAAAGCCUUCCAGGGAUGGAGCAGUGAAAGCUGAGCAAGAACCAGUCACAAAAAAAAAGGAGGAGGCUGAGCUUCCAACCAGAGCAGCACGGUGGAGUAAAAUUAUGCAUGUGCCUCUUCAGUGGAACCCAUCAAACUACCAAUCUCCUGUCCUGCCCUUCCCCUGCUAAGGGAAUGCAGGUACUGGUACCAAGAAAUGCCAGUGUGAAGUCAGAGCAAUGACAAGUCACCAAGGAGCAGCUGCUGUCACUGGCAGCAGCCUGACAGCAGAGUUAUUGCCUCAACCUGCAGCUGUGCUCGUGCCAGCGAGGCCACAGUGAGUUUUGUUCCUCAAAAUCCACAGAACAAAGAAGAGUUAAAUUAAUGCCCAGCCUGGAAGAUGCCACAAGCUGAAGGCAGUACCUUGGCCCAGAGAAGCCCACAGGAUUCAGCAGUGGCAGCAGUGGAGCCCAGGGAAGCGAUGACAGCUGGCACAGCUCCUGCCAUGGUGGUUUUUCUGGGCACAACAAAUGUUGUCCAAAGCCACAAGAGAGAGCACAGAGCCCUACCAACAUUGGGGGGUCCUACAGAGAAGCCUUCCAGCCCACUGGAGAGGAGCAAAUGCAUCAGCCACGUGUUUCAACAUCAGAACAAACCCACCCUUCAGUUUUCAAACCAGCUUUUGGCUGCCACA